AUCACUUUUGAAGGCUUCCCUCAAGUCCUAGCAGCUCCUUGUAUUUGCCUUCUCUCAUUUCAGCUGCAUGUGUCACCGGGCAUGUACAGGAGUUCAUACAAGAGAGACUACCAGUGGUGUGAGGCAUACCUGCCACCCAGAGAGGAAGACAUUCAGAAGCUGCAGAUUGCAGACGCCCAGCUAAAAGCCAAGGAGUUUGCUGUACCCCAGGAGGAGCAAGCAAUGACCUUCAGUGACAGCGUUGUCUGGCAGCGGAGAAAAGGCAUCCCAGCACCGAGCACCAAAGCCAGCAGUGGUGCUGAUGACACAGGAGAAGGCUACCUGCCAAAGUACUACCCUGCCACCGAGCUGGCGGCGAUCCAGGCAGAGGCAUCGGAGAGGCCGCGGGCUCUCGCUGAGCUGGGGAACGAGCCGUCUUGUUGCCAACAUCUUCCAGCUGCUGCUCAGACUGCUGGAACAGCAGGGAUGUUUCUGCGCAAGCAGAAGCUGAUCCCGGUCUGGCCCACCUACUGGCAAUUCGCCAUGGAGACGUCCCGGGCAAGGCAGCAUGAUGCUCAGCAAAACAAGAACAUGAGCCUGAGCUCAUCUGCUUUGUUGGAAGGAACUGGGUGUCCGAGUACAAGGACAACUACAGCGUUUUCUCGCAGAGGCUGGACCAGUCAUCUCCAGUGCCUGCUGUGGGGCUGUGCACUGUGCUGUCCUUUGGGGAAGGGACUGCCAUAG
rnacentral:lncRNA from 1 species